AGAAGAAAAAAGACGACGAAGAAGAAGAAGAAGAGCUUUGUCGUCGUGUAACGCUGCGUAUUUGGUUUCCAGUAGUUAUUAGACGCGUUUACGGUUCUCGGGCUGUUUUAGCACAGCUAGCUGUUUUCUGUAUAUGAUGACGUCUAAGUGAGACGUAUUGCCGUGACAGACUCACGGUUAUUUAGCUAAACCAAGCUAACAGCAGGAGUUGCGCAUCAAGACUUCUUUCAGCUGAUCCAAAAUGUACACUCUGCUGUCUGGGUUGUACAAGUACAUGUUUCAGAAGGACGAAUACUGCGUGUUGAUCCUGGGGCUGGAUAAUGCAGGAAAGACGACCUUUCUGGAACAGACCAAGACUAAGUUCAGUAAAAACUACAAGGGGAUGAAUCUGUCCAAAGUCACAACAACAGUUGGGUUAAACAUUGGUACCAUCGACGUCGGCAAGGCUCGCCUAAUGUUCUGGGAUCUGGGAGGUCAGGAGGAGCUGCAGUCUCUCUGGGACAAAUACUACGCAGAGUCUCACGGAGUCAUCUAUGUGAUUGACUCAACUGAUGAAGACCGCCUUUCAGAAUCGAAGGAAGCCUUUGGAUUGUUUUCCAGAGAAAAUGAUCUGCAGCGAGGCAUUAGAAGGCGUUCCACUCCUCAUUCUUGCCAACAAGCAGGAUGUACCGAGUUGUUUGUCGGUGCCGGACAUCAAAACAGCCUUCAGUGAUUCGGCACCAAAGAUCGGCAAAAGAGACUGCUUAGUGCAGCCCUGCACUGCCCUCACAGGGGACGGAGUGAACGAAGGCAUUCAGUGGAUGGUGAAGUGUGUGGUGAGGAACAUUCACCGGCCGCCCAGGCAGAAGGACAUCACCUAAAACACGGCUGACCCCACAUAUUCUGGACGUUGGCGGAAUUUUUGACAAGGACAUUCCAUGCGACCCCUGGAGUUGAAGACAUUCUGUUUUUCUAGUUUUACUCUAGUUGGAAGUUUUUCCCUUUGGACUCUCGUUACGGUGUGACUGUACAGGUUGAGUUUGCACUGUGAACUUGGGGCGACACGUUUUCUAGAGAUCAGUAUCGGACUGCACAGUCAGCUGAGCCUCACUGAUAGCAAGGAAACAUUGAUACGUCACUUCUCUUAUAAAUACAUCGAGUUUUCACUACUUUAGUCGGGUCCUUAAAUUCAUUUUUCCUUUAUUUCCAGGUUUAGGCGUGUCUGGCCAUGAAGCACUAAGGUCAACAUUUAAUGUCGGUUUCGUCCAGAAAGGACACAACAUAUUUGAGGACAAAGGGUAAAAAAAAUGAAGGUUCAAACAUUCUUUUUAUUUAAAUACUUUUUCUUGAAAGUCUCUUUUGUUCAUGCUCUGCUGCAUGUAAGCAGGGUGGCCUGCUUAAAAGGUUGCCUGCUGUGUAUUCGUUUAAACAAUCAAAUGCAUUUGUCAUUUUAUUCUUUAUGUGAAGUUGUGCAACAAAAUAUGACAUUGUUUCUCUGAAACUACAUCAGGUUACAGUGGGGGGGAAAAAAGCAAGUGGAUCAAAGACCAUAUGCGUGUAAUAACUUAAAGGGAAGCGGCUCAGCUGUGGGAAAUGGAAAACUGGUGGGAACUGGCUGCGGAAUAAUCCAGAUGAUUAGAGUCAAGCGUGUUUUAUUAUCUUUCAGUACAAAAGAUACAAUAAAAAAAAUAAACAGUA